UCUGUCCCUAUAUAACCUGUUUGCAAGUAGAAUAUUAAAUAGUUUAUUGAUUGAUAACGUGUUAUAAAAUAAAUUAAAAGAACAAGAUCAAAUAUGUAGAAGAUGAGAGUUUCAAUAUUAUUCUCUUUAUAAAUAUGUCUUUACACCAAAAUUUGAGUCUUAUUAUUUACUCCCUCUGUCCUUAUAUUUAAGCACCUUUUACAUUUUUCAUAUUUUUUAAGAAAAGUUGUU
rnacentral:lncRNA from 1 species